GACGGGGGGGGCAAGUGUUCUUCGGAAUGACUGGGCGUAAAGGACACGUAGGCGGUGAAUCGGGUUGAAAGUGAAAGUCGCCAAAAAGUGGCGGAAUGCUCUCGAAACCAAUUCACUUGAGUGAGACAGAGGAGAGUGGAAUUUCGUGUGUAGGGGUGAAAUCCGUAAAUAUACGAAGGAACGCCAAAAGCGAAGGCAGCUCUCUGGGUCCCUACCGACGCUGGGGUGCGAAAGCAUGGGGAGCGAACAGG
rnacentral:rRNA from 1 species